UAAUAUAUAAACAAAAUAACUCAGCAAAAAGUAUGUGUCGAUGGUGUUAGUUGUUGGAGGGAAUGGCCCAAGUUCCCAGAGAGAUUGAUUAUAGUUUUAAUGAGAUGAAAACGUUCGUGGGGCUCUUUUUCUGAUCACAUCAUGCCCAAGUAGGAGCGGUCUCCAAAUCAUACCACUCACCUCCACGUGUCUUUCUUCUCUCUCCCUACGUCGCUGCCCACUACGUCUACAUGUUAAACCAAAACAAAAAUUAGCGACUUCGAAGAAAACUGAGAUUUUCUGAAAAGAAAAGAGUAAGUGAUUUUCUAUGUUAUU